rnacentral:rRNA from 1 species
UACGUAGGGGGCAAGCGUUGUCCGGAAUCAUUGGGCGUAAAGAGCGUGUAGGCGGCCAGGUAGGUCUGCUGUGAAAACUCGAGGCUCAACCUCCAGACGUCGAUCGAAACCAUCUGGCUAGAGUCCGGAAGAGGAGAAUGGAAUUCCUGGUGUAGCGGUGAAAUGCGCAGAUAUCAGGAAGAACACCAAUGGCGAAGGCAGUUCUCUGGGACGGUACUGACGCUGAGACGCGAAAGCGUGGGGAGCGAACAGG